UACGUAGGGGGCGAGCGUUGUCCGGAUUUAUUGGGCGUAAAGAGCGUGUAGGCGGCUUGGCAAGUCCGCUGUGAAAACUCGAGGCUCAACCUCGAGACGUCGGUGGAAACUGCCUGGCUAGAGUCCGGAAGAGGAGAGUGGAAUUCCUGGUGUAGCGGUGAAAUGCGCAGAUAUCAGGAAGAACACCCGUGGCUAAGGCGGCUCUCUAGUACGGUACUGACGCUGAGACGCGAAAGCGUGGGGAGCAAACAGG
rnacentral:rRNA from 1 species